UGUGUUUAAUAAAAGUGCACCCAAGCACACACAUAAAAAGGACUGACAUAUCUGUUUCAACCUGAAGGUGCACAGUGGAUCCAACUGUUCAGAUCUACCGCUCCUCCAACCAGAAUCAGUUCCAGUUCAGCAUGGAGGCCUUCAAGUUCAUUGGUUCAUUGGAUCAGAUGGCAAGGAGAUACGGGAGAUUCUGACUCCUCACCAUGACAACAACCGCCACCCCGGCCAGGGUCGGCUGGUGAAGGAGAUCAUGGUGAGUGUGCUGGCGUGGAGCACUGCAGCAUCUCCCUGACGGGCCGCCUCCUCUCUGUUGGGGUGACCGUCUCCGUGAAGAAGUGGGUUGAAGACUUCGCCGUUUGUCAAGGCAGAUCGCAGCUACGCCCCAACCAGCUGAGCGUCCAGUGCUGCCUGGUUUACGGCUGCGACGCCUCGAGUUACGCCCACCCCGAGCUGAGCUUCCACCGGUUUCCCAAAGAUGCGGAGCUGCGGAGGGCGUGGCUGGCCCUGGCUCAGAGGGACGAGGGCUCGCCGCAUGCUCACUCCUGAGUGUCCUCCUGACACUUUGAGGCGUCUUGGUUCACCCUGACGCCGCCGGCCGGCUGAUGCUUUCAUCGGACGCCGUUCCGACCCUCCGUCCUGACGCGCUGAGAGAGGUGACUCAGUUUUUUCAUAAUAAAAGUCUAGAGUGAUGCAGUUUCUGUGUUUUAGACCGAGACGGACAUCUAUCUGUCAGGUAUGGUGACCCUGAAGUGCAAAUUUAUCAACAAACUCGAUCCAAAAACAUUUUUCAAAUCACAACAAAUAAAGAAAAAAAAACAAA